ACGACUAUAUCGGGCCGAUAUACGGUAAAUGUCGGCAUGUCGGCAAAGUGUGCCGAUUUGGGGCCGACAUCGGACCGCUGCAGUGCCGACAUGCUCAAUAUUUUGAAAAAUUCUAAAUGCAAUGGUAUUGUUUACUUAAUUAUGUUAAUAAAUAGUCCUGUGUAUGAUUUCAAUUACUAGAACCACAUUAACCACAUUUCAUGUUACAUCAAAAAAAGGACAUCGGGUCUGCGUCGGGCCUACAUGAUAAAUAAAUGCAACUAUUUUGUAUAUCGGAUUGACAUCGGUACGAUAUUGCGUUUUCUGUCACAUAUCCAUAUUUUGUUAAAUCGUUGAAAUAUUAUGAAAUAAAUUAAUGCCAAUGAAACACCGUUGUUCUUUACUUAUUAUAUUUACGUACUGUCUUACUGUCCGGUUUUUGUAGUAGACAAGGGAGGGAAUUCUGUUAGGUUUAUUCCCUCCCUUGAUUACCAUGCAGCAAAUAAUUGUACAUUUUGAUAUGAAUUUAUAAAAUAAUUUUAGCUGAGUUUUAAAAUGAUAUGUUGUUUGUAAUUGAAUUCAAUAUUUAUUUUCUAAGCACAUAAAAAACACUCUUCAAUUAUAAUUUAAAUGCAAAUCUGGCAAAUAUUCACUGCAUUUCUACUUUCAACAGAACAACUUCAACAAGCGCCAAAAAGCUAAUCAAAGGAAGGUGAUGAAAUUAUAUAUAUUUUAAAGUAAUGAUGAUUUAUCAAAUGUGUAAACAUUGUUAAUUAUUUGAUUUUAACACUUUAAGUGAUUGGAAAAAUAAACCAUUUAUUUGUUUGUCUGAUUUUAAUGUAAAAUCAAGGUUGAAAAUAUUUGUUACAUAUUUUCGCGACAUGCAUUAACAGGGCAGUGAUAAUUUAUCAUUUGCACAUCAAAGUUAGAAUGUACUAAAUAUUCGCUCUUAUAAUCUUAUUUUGUAAAAAAAAAUAUGUUUGUGUUUUGCAUACUUGCUGUUAAUUUUCACUUUCACAGUUUAUUAAUGUGCAUGUACAUGCUUUCCCUUCUACUGGAAUUUUUUCUUUAAUUGAUAUGAAUAUGAGCAGGGAAGUUGGUUAAAAUAAUCAUUCAUUUUUUUAUUUUUCAUUUUCUGUUUAAAGGUGAUAGUGCUGGGUAUACAGUUAGUGUAGGCAAUUAGAAUCACCUUUAUAUCGAAAGCUAUAUUUUAUUUAAAUGACAUAAUCUGAAAGGAACUGGUGUCAUUUCUUUCUUCUUAAACAUCACAUUAUUACCAUCUGUUAUAGAUCUACUGUUGCAGUAAAAAUAGAAAAACAACGCGAAAAUUUAUUAAUUGAUUACCCUACAACAUGAGAAAAGAAAUGUAAAAUAUACACUGCAGAUCAAAAUUUUAAAGCCUUCAUUUAAAACAAAGGUUAUCUGAAAAACUUGUCAUUCAAGUACUUCUGGAUCACACGAAACAUAUAUUUCCCUACACACAGGUGCUAAAUUUUGUAUACUUAUAUGCAUUGAUUCUUUGAAUUCAUUGAAACAUUUGGAACAUCAUUUUGUUUUUGUUGGAUUAAAAGAAAUUAAAUGAAGUGAUUCGGAUUACCCUUUUUUUACCUUGAAUUUUGCCAAUUUUUGUGGUAAAUUUCAGUUUUAUUUAGGGAGUUUACCAGUCAUGAUUCAGGAUAUUUGCUGUUUAUUUUCUAUUGGGAAGGGUGCCGUUUGCAUGUAUCAGUUAUUUACGGGGGGAAAACGCUGUGGAAAAAACCUUAAGAGAAAUUUUAGCAAUUCAGAAUGUAGUUAUGUUUGACCUAAUUUAUAUGUUUCGUUAGGUCUCUUUCUGGAAAGGGAAAGUAUGUACAUGUACAAUCAUUAAAAAUUGUUGUAAAAGUUUAGAUAUUAGCAAACAAAACCGUGUCAUGAAAUAGGUAGAUAUGUGCUGACAUUUUAUAGAAAAUCACAGCCCUGUAUAUGUAUAAAAAAAAUCUGCAAAUGUGAAUCCAUUUGUCUAAGCAAUAAAGACUUAUAUUGUAAAAUAUUGGUACAUUUUCAUCACUUUCUUUUGACAGUUUGUUGGAAUGUUUGUGUUACUACAUUUAGAAUGUACGUGCUAGUUGAAUUCACUGAUGAAACAUGUUUAGCUGUAAUUCCGGACAAAUGGUGUGAUGGAACAAAAUGUGCUUUAUGGCCAAGCUGGAAGGUAUCUUCUAAAAUUACUAAAGCUGCAAUGAAGAAGAUGGAGCCGCAGGAUGAUUGGCAAUCCUUCCCAAUCCGUGAAUUGUAUGAACAUGAAUCAUAUGAUAAGGUACGAAAGAAGCUGCGUGAAGCAGAAGAUUAAUCUGACCUAGCAACUACCUUAGAGGCUAUAGUGAAGAUGAGGCAGAUUCAUACCGCCGAUCAAAGAGAAAAAUCAGAAAAACAGUAUUUUCUUCAUCUGAUGAAGAUGAGGACAGGCAUGAUUUUACUGCUGUUUCACGCAGUAAGAACAGAGGAAGGGUCUCAGGAAGAAGUUCAAUCAAUGCCUAUGACAGUUUCUUCAUCAUCACCACCGUCUUCCAUCUCACCACCGUCUUCCAUCUCAUCACCACUGUCUUCCAUCUCAUCACCACUGCCUUCAACAAAAUCGCCAUCUCUUCCUAAACCACCACCACGUAUCCCAUUGGCAACCACUCCAAUGUGAAAGUUGGCUCAAAGACGCAAGAAACAGCAGCUCCAGAUGCAAAUAGAGAUCAUGUUCGCUUCUCAAGAGAAGUGUUCACUAGUAUCGAAAAAAUCAGAAUCGAACAAAACCAGCAACGCAGAAUGCUUGAAACUCUUCUAGAUAUGGUCAGGAGCUAGGAGCGUCAAAAGCGAGCAGCUCCAGUACCUUCAGUCUGCUUGAAGGUAUUACCCGUCCCCUCCAAUCUUUGGAGGAUGUUGAAGGGUUAGAAAAAGAGUUGAGACAACAGACUGUUCUCAACAACAUGGUCAACUACCUGUCUUUGAUUGGCGGGAAAAACACACCAGAUAUGGUCAGGCGAAUUCUGAGCCAUGUAAUCAAAAGCCGUUUGGCAGAGAGUUACAACUGGUACGGAAAGAAAGGAAAGCUUAAAUUUGGAUCGUUGAAAAUAGCGGAAGUGAUUUGUAAGGCAGUGCAGAAGACCACAUCAGGAACAACCACAGCAGAGGUCGAAUUUAUAACUAGAGAAUGGUUGAGGACAGCAAAGA